AAUAGCUUUCGACAUUUGCUGCACCUUGAGAAAAACCAUCAGUUGGUUGAAUUUAGAGCUGUGGUCAGGUGUGAAAAUUAAAUCGCAACCAAACAAUGUUAACAUUGAAUGUGAACAAAAAGAAGUUGAUCACACAGGAAACCUUGGUAAACGUUUUCUUUUUACAAUAUCUUCCAAGUGAUAGCAUGCUAUGUUAUGCUGUGCUAAGCAGACAUCUUUUUCACAUAUCUGCCCCACUAGUGUGUUUAGCCCCUAAAAGAAGGUACCCGAUCCAAGGCCACCUGUGCCCUAUACUCUGUGUACUUUUAGAGUUUUGCCAAAACAGGCACCUGGCAUAACAUUUGUGCCAAUUCAACAUGCCAGGUUGACUGUGGUACCGUGAGCACACGUCUCAAACAAAACCUAAACUUUGCUGAGAGUGAGAGUUC